rnacentral:rRNA from 1 species
UACGUAGGUGACAAGCGUUGUCCGGAUUUACUGGGCGUAAAGCGCACGUAGGCGGUUCGUUAAGUCGGAUGUGAAAGCCCUCGGCUCAACUGAGGAAGUGCACCCGAAACUGGCGAGCUUGAGUACGAAAGAGGAUCGCGGAAUUCCCGGUGUAGAGGUGAAAUUCGUAGAUAUCGGGAGGAACACCGGUGGCGAAGGCGGCGAUCUGGGUCGAUACUGACGCUGAGGUGCGAAAGCGUGGGGAGCGAACAGGA